rnacentral:rRNA from 1 species
CCUACGGGAGGCAGCAGUGAGGAAUAUUGGUCAAUGGGCGCGAGCCUGAACCAGCCAAGUAGCGUGAAGGAUGACUGCCCUACGGGUUGUAAACUUCUUUUAUAAAGGAAUAAAGUGCGGCACGUGUGCGUUUUUGUAUGUACUUUAUGAAUAAGGAUCGGCUAAUUCCGUGCCAGCAGCCGCGGUAAUACGGAGGAUCCGAGCGUUAUCCGGAUUUAUUGGGUUUAAAGGGAGCGUAGAUGGGUUGUUAAGUCAGUUGUUAAAUUUUGCGGCUCAACCGUAAAAUUGCAGUUGAUACUGGCAGUCUUGAGUACAGGUGAGGUAGGCGGAAUUCGUGGUGUAGCGGUGAAAUGCUUAGAUAUCACGAAGAACUCCGAUUGCGAAGGCAGUGUACUAAACUGCCACUGACAUUGAUGCUCGAAAGUGUGGGUAUCAAACAGGAUUAGAUACCCUUGUAGUC